GUGUCAGCAGCCGCGGUAAUACGUAGGUGGCAAGCGUUGUCCGGAUUUAUUGGGUUUAAAGGGUGCGUAGGCGGUCCACUAAGUCAGUUGUGAAAUACGGCAGCUUAACUGUCGAGGUGCAAUUGAUACUGGUGGACUUGAGUACUGAUGAGGUAGGCGGAAUGGACGGUGUAGCGGUGAAAUGCUUAGAGAUCGUCCAGAACACCGAUAGCGAAGGCAGCUUACUAAAGAGUAACUGACGCUGAGGCACGAAAGUGUGGGGAUCAAACAGGAUUAGAAACCCUCGUAGUCC
rnacentral:rRNA from 1 species